UAUUUUAACGGCCGCGGUAUCUUAACCGUGCAAAGGUAGCAUAAUCAAUUGUCUCUUAAAUUGGGACUAGUAUGAACGGCACCACGAGGGUUUAACUGUCUCCCCCUUUUAAUCAAUGAAAUUAAUCUUCCCGUGAAGAACCGGGAAUACAGCUAUAAGACGAGAAGACCCCGUGGAGCUUUAAACUUAUUAUCACUUAUUUACUAAUAUAACAUGCUACAAGAUAAAAAUGUCUCAAAUAGUUUUUGGUUGGGCGACCCUGGAGAAAAGUAAAUCCUCCAGAUCGAAAGGGUUAACUACCC
rnacentral:rRNA from 1 species